rnacentral:lncRNA from 1 species
AUGGCUGAGGGGUGUCCCCUCCCUGGGGAGGUGAUGGAGGGGGACAGCGGUGUCCCCAAAGGGGACAUCGAUGUCCCCGAGGUCACCGUCACUCCUUGGGCCAGCGGCAUCACCAUCACCGUCACGGUGGCACCAGCAGAUGAGGACAUCGAGGACAUUUGGGACAUUGGGGACACUGGGGACAUUGGGGACGCUGGGAGCACUGGGGACAGGGAUGCCCCAAGUGUCACUGCUGAGGACAUUGGGGAUGGGGACAUGGGGCGUGGGGACAUCCCCGUUCCAUGUGACAAAGAUGUUGGGGACAGAGGUGUCCCAACACGGGAGGAUGUUGGGGACAGGGAUGGCAUUGGUGUCACAGCCCUAAGGGACACCGAGAUCAUGGACACGGUGACACCGAAGGACGCUGGGGACAAGGAUGUCCCAACCCCAGGGGACACUGGGGACAGGGAUGUCCCAGUCCAUGAGGACAAGAGUGAUGGGGACAGGGAUGUCGUAAGUGUGUGGGACGAUGAGGACAAGGACUUUGGGGACAGGAAUGUCACCACCCCAAGGGACAAGGUUUGGGAUGUCCCCGUUCCCAGACUGGACAAGGACACGGGGAACGGAGAUGUCCUAGCUCCUGGCGGCGAGGAUAUUGGGGACAUCCCAACCCUAAAGGACGCGGGGGACAUCAAGACUCCAAGGGACGUUGGGGACAAGGACGUCACAACCCCUAAGGGCGAGGACACCAAGGAGAAGCGUGUCCUAACCAUGGGGGAUGAGGAACUUGGGGACAAGGGAGUGGGGGACAAGGACUCCAUGUCUCUCAUGGACUUUGGGGACAAGGACGUUGGGGAGAAGGGGGUCCCAUCCGUCAUGGAUUUUGGGGACAAGGACGUUGGGGACAAGGACAUUGGGGAGAAGGGGGUUCCAUCCCUCAUGGGCACUGGGGACAAGGACACUGGGGACAAGGACAGUGGGGAGAAGGGGGUCCCAUCCCUCAUGGGCAUUGGGGACAAGGACACUGGGGACAAAGACAUUGGGAAGAAAGAGGUCCCAUCCCUCGUGGGCAUUGGGGACAAGGACGUUGGGGACAAGGAUGUUGGGGACAAGGACAUUGGGGACAAGGACACUGGAGAGAAGGACGUGAGGGUGAAGGGGGUCCUGUCCCUCAUGGGCACUGGG